UUGCUUUUGAGGUUCUUAGCCUCUAUCAUUGCCGGCCUGCGGUUUCCCCUGCCCCAAUAGGGUAAGGGAGACUCUCAUUUAGGUGGAGUAGCGUGCAUAACUAAGUUUGCAUGUUCUUUUGUGGUGGAAUGGAGUAGAUUUGUGAGGGUUGAUUUACAUCCACUGUCGUUUGUUGUUUUGGUUGUUCUAGUUGUGGCGUGCAAGCUGUGCACCUCAAAAGGUAUUUGACCCUAUUGGAAUCGGCUUGCUGCUUGGACAGAGUGAAGAAGCAUUUGG
rnacentral:misc_RNA from 1 species